GACGAACGCUGGCGGCGUGCUUAACACAUGCAAGUCGAACGGUGAAGGGACUGGUUUUGCUGGUCCUGGAUGAGUGGCGAACGGGUGAGUAACACGUGAGUAACCUGCCCCCUUCUUCUGGAUAACCGCAUGAAAGUGUGGCUAAUACGGGAUAUUCUGGGUCUGUCGCAUGGUGGGCCUGGGAAAGAUUGCGCCUUUUUUGGUGUUUUUGGUGGGGGUUGGGCUCGCGGCCUAUCAGCUUGUUGGUGGAGUGAUGGCCUACCAAGGCGGUGACGGGUAGCCGGCCUGAGAGGGUGGACGGUCACACUGGGACUGAGACACGGCCCAGACUCCUACGGGAGGCAGCAGUGGGGAAUAUUGCACAAUGGGCGCAAGCCUGAUGCAGCGACGCCGCGUGAGGGAUGGAGGCCUUCGGGUUGUGAACCUCUUUCGCCAGUGAAGCAGGCCUGCCUCUUUUUGUGGGUGGGUUGACGGUAGCUGGAGAAGAAGCGCCGGCUAACUACGUG
rnacentral:rRNA from 1 species